GGACCUGACUGCUAUCGGAUUGAUACUAAGCCAUGCGAGUCAUUGUAGCAAUACAAGGCAUACGGCUCAGUAACGCGUAGUCAACCUACCCUAUGGACGGGAAUAACCUCGGGAAACUGAGAAUAAUGCCCGAUAGAACAUUAUGCCUGGAAUGGUUUAUGUUCCAAAUGAUUUAUCGCCGUAGGAUGGGACUGCGGCCUAUCAGUUUGUUGGUGAGGUAAUGGCCCACCAAGACUAUUACAGGUACGGGCUCUGAGAGGAGUGGCCCGGAGAUGGGUACUGAGACACGGACCCAGGCCCUAUGGGGCGCAGCAGGCGAGAAAACUUUGCAAUGUGCGAAAGCACGACAAGGUUAAUCCGAGUGGUUUCUGCUAAAGAAACCUUUUGUCAGUCCUAGAAACACUGAUGAAUAAGGGGUGGGCAAGUUCUGGUGU
rnacentral:rRNA from 1 species